rnacentral:tRNA from 1 species
AAUAAUGUGCCUGAUAAAAAGGGUUAACUUGAUAGGUUAAAUAAUAGAAUGAUUUUUAUUC